rnacentral:rRNA from 1 species
AACGCGAAGAACCUUACCGAGGCUUGACAUCCCUAUCGUACCCUUUGGAAACAUUGGGGUCAGUUCGGCUGGAUAGGUGACAGGUGCUGCAUGGCCGUCGUCAGCUCGUGUCGUGAGAUGUUGGGUUAAGUCCCGCAACGAGCGCAACCCUUGUCGUGUGUUGUAUUUUUCACACGAGACUGCCCGGGCCAACCGGGAGGAAGGUGGGGAUGACGUCAGGUCAGCAUGGCCCUUACGCCUCGGGCCACACACGUCCUACAAUGGCCGGUACAAUGGGCCAGCUAAGCCGCGAGGUGGAGCUAAUCCCAUCAAAACCGGUCUCAGUUCGGAUUGCAGGCUGCAACUCGCCUGCAUGAAGUCGGAAUUGCUAGUAACCGUGGGUCAGCAUACCACGGUGAAUACGUUCCCGGGCCUUGUACACACCGUACGUC